GGAUCGAUGAUGACCCCCUCAGAAUGCAUUCCUUGGAAAUAUGAACAAAAUGAGCGAGAACUCCGUACCGUCGUUCUCAUCGGAACUGAGGUCC